GUAAAGUAGGCGUACGGGUGAGUAACACGUGGAUGAUCUACCUUUUAGUGGGGAAUACCGCAGGGAAACCGGUGACAAUACCGCAUAAGCUCGAGAGAGGAAAGCCGAAAGGCGCUGAAAGAGGAGUCCGCGGCCGAUUAGCUAGUUGGUAGGGUAAUGGCCUACCAAGGCUUUGAUCGGUAGCCGGCCUGAGAGGGCACACGGCCACACUGGCACUGAAACACGGGCCAG
rnacentral:rRNA from 1 species